GAUGAACGCUGGCGGCAUGCCUAAUACAUGCAAGUCGAACGAGGCAUCUUCGGAUGCCUAGUGGCGAACGGGUGAGUAACACGUAGGGAACCUGCCCAUGCGGCCGGGACAACUUCCGGAAACGGAUGCUGAUACCGGAUAAGGAAAGCGAAGGCAUCUUUGCUUUGUUAAAGGAGCUGCAAGGCUCCGCGCAUGGAUGGACCUGCGGUGCAUUAGCUGGUUGGUGAGGUAAAGGCUCACCAAGGCGACGAUGCAUAGCCGGCCUGAGAGGGCGAACGGCCACACUGGGACUGAGACACGGCCCAGACUCCUACGGGAGGCAGCAGUAGGGAAUUUUCGUCAAUGGGCGCAAGCCUGAACGAGCAAUGCCGCGUGAACGAGGAAGGUCUUCGGAUCGUAAAGUUCUGUUGAGAGGGAAAAAGGGUCACCAGAGGAAAUGCUGGUGAAGUGAUAUUACCUUUCGAGGAAGUCACGGCUAACUACGUGCCAGCAGC
rnacentral:rRNA from 1 species